rnacentral:lncRNA from 1 species
UGGGUCCGAAAAUUCGACAUCGUGAAUAUCGUUUGCUUCGACGCGUGGCAGGCUGGUAGGUGAGUUCCGCCGGAGCCAUUUACGGGCGCAGCACACCGCGAGCGGAGAGUCCGAGGAGCCCGUUUUGUGCAGUCUGGAUGUUCUGGUCGCCCAGAACAUGGUUCCGGGCGCCCAGAAACGCCCGUUUCUGCAGGGACACUGGAUAGCAGCUGUUUCUCUUGGGCUUAUCUUAUCCCUCCAGCACCCUAUAAAUACCUGGUAUACGUCCCUAUUGAGCUCUUUUACCUGUUCUUCACAGAGGACUUAGAUUUUACAUCCCUAAUCCCUCCAAUCUUUCCAAUUUGCAUCAAGAUCCACCUCUCCAAGAAUUGCAAGGUGCUGAUUCUGCAGUUCUUCAGCGACGACCUCCAGUGUUUUGGCUCGUGCGCGACGUAGGAAGGUCGGAUUUCGACGAAACUUGGUUUGCUGGAUUCUAGACUUCCAGAGGAAUCCACGAAGCCCUGAAUUGCAGAUUUUGGUUGAGGUUAGCUUGGUCGAACUGAGGUUUUUCUGGACUGCUGUUGGCUUUGAGCUGAAAAUUGGAUUUUUGAGCUUUUCUUGAUGCUAACUUUGUAGGCAGUGGGAUUUUAGUCCUGAGAUUGAUCACCCCUCAGUAUUUGCUGGAUUUGGAACUGUCCUCACCUGAUUUGGAGAUCAUUAGGUGAGUUUUGACAUUGGAGUUGAGAUGAAUUAGCUUAAGUGCUGAAAUUUUGGUUAAUUGAUGGUUUUGUUGGAUUUUUGGGUGAAUUGUAAUGUCCAGAUCUUGAGGGGCUUUGUUGCUGGUUUGGAGGUAUUUCCAGCAGUGUUGCUUGUGAUCCGAGACCCUUUUGCUGCCAGGAAUUGCACUAGAGGUGGGUUAUCAUCGGUUUCGCUCCUAAGUGCAUGUUUAGUCGACGUGUAUAGUUCGGUUCUUGUAUAUCAUUCUUUAAUUCAUCGAUUAGCAUCUUGAAUGUAAUAUGAAUGUAGAAGCAUGCUGAAAUGAAUAUUUAUAUUAUACAUGUUGAACUUGAAAUUUGACUUAGGAGAAAACCUGCGUUUUGACCCGUCAUAUGCUUAAACUACCAGAUUUAGCUCUAGGAGCCGUGGUUCGAUUGUAUCGUUGCAGUAUCAGUGCGAUGGAUACCUGGGGUAGUUUAAAAGGCAUUUACGCUCGUGCUGGGGUGCCGAGCUUAUUUUUUUAGCAGAGUUUAGGCUGUUUCGGGUCGUUGGGUGCCGUUCGGGUUAGCGGUGGACCCAGAUUCUUGUUUUGGUCACAGAUUGUGCCGAGGGCACGUGGGUUUGGUUUGUAGACCUGUUUUGACCUUGUUCACUUGACUUUGGCUAGUUGGAGCCUGAAUGAGCUCGACAGAGAUACGCUGCAUACUCGGUUGGGUAGCGCCCACGAGUGCCACUUCGGAGACGGGCUUUGUGCUUUCCCGUUGGUGUCGCUCAUGCCGGUUAGACUUGCUCUCCACGGACCAGUUAGUGUGGAUGGAGCUGGAUAGUCGAAACUGGGCAGGGACGGGUGUAUUCACAGUCCCAGGGACGGGUAGGCUUACAGUCCCGAUUGGAUUGGGUCAGAUUUGACAUUUCCUACAGUUGGUUAGUGUAGAGCUUGAUAGUGUAGUGAUCGAUAGCGGUAGAGUUUACUUUCUGCUUUUCUGACUAUUCUUGUUCCCUUCUGUAGACUUAGUGGGUGGACCGAUGUUGUUUUGGGUGGUACCCACUGAGGACUACUUGUUUUUACAGUAGUUCUCACGCCUAGUUGUUACUCCUGUUUUGC